AGCUGGACAUUAAGGGGCCAGCAGCACUUUACCAUAGGGAGAUGGAAAGAAGGACAUUCUGGGGAGGAAAAACAUUGUAACUAAAGUGCUGAUGGCAGAAAAGAGGCUCAUGUAUAAAGAAGAGAAAAUCAUCCAGUUUUCCUGGUCCACAAGAGCUCAAUAAGCAGAGAAAUGAGAGAUAAGGUUUAAAACAUGAGCUCAAUAAGCAGAGAAAUGAGAGAUAAGGUUUAAAACAUGAGUUGAGGUCAUGAAAACAUGGAGAGUCUGUUAGGUUU
rnacentral:lncRNA from 1 species